rnacentral:rRNA from 1 species
CAGCAGCGCGGGAAUACGUAGGGUGCGAGCGUUAAUCGGAAUUACUGGGCGUAAAGCGUGCGCAGGCGGUUGUGUAAGACAGGUGUGAAAUCCCCGGGCUUAACCUGGGAACUGCGCUCGUGACUGCACAGCUAGAGUAUGGCAGAGGGGGGUGGAAUUCCACGUGUAGCAGUGAAAUGCGUAGAGAUGUGGAGGAACACCGAUGGCGAAGGCAGCCCCCUGGGCCAAUACUAACGCUCAUGCACGAAAGCGUGGGGAGCAAACAGGAUUAGAUACCCCGGUAGUCCCUGUCUCUUAACAC